UUGUCGUUGAUUAUCCACAACUUCUAAGUUGCAAGCGAAGUUUACACACGUGGAGUGAUGCUCAGUUGAAUUUUUCUGUUGCUUUGGAGAAAGUUCUCAAUGAAGGGUUUGUGGUGAACUAUAAUGUUUCUCGAGUUUGCCAAAGAUGUUUGGGAAGUGAAGGGCGUUGCUGGAGAGAUGAUAUUGAAAAACAUGUGGUGAAUUCUUGCUACUAUUGCCAAAAUGGUUCUCAUGGCCUACACUGUUCUCCUAGUCCUGUCAAAACCACCACAAGCAGUACUGUCGCAGUUGCAGGCAAAA
rnacentral:sRNA from 1 species